rnacentral:rRNA from 1 species
AGCGUACACGGUGGAUGCCCUGGCAGUCAGAGGCGAUGAAGGACGUGCUAAUCUGCGAUAAGCGUCGGUAAGGUGAUAUGAACCGUUAUAACCGGCGAUUUCCGAAUGGGGAAACCCAGUGUGAUUCGUCACACUAUCAUUAACUGAAUCCAUAGGUUAAUGAGGCGAACCGGGGGAACUGAAACAUCUAAGUACCCCGAGGAAAAGAAAUCAACCGAGAUUCCCCCAGUAGCGGCGAGCGAACGGGGAGCAGCCCAGAGCCUGAAUCAGUGUGUGUGUUAGUGGAAGCGUCUGGAAAGGCGCGCGAUACAGGGUGACAGCCCCGUACACAAAAAUGCACAUGCUGUGAGCUCGAUGAGUAGGGCGGGACACGUGGUAUCCUGUCUGAAUAUGGGGGGACCAUCCUCCAAGGCUAAAUACUCCUGACUGACCGAUAGUGAACCAGUACCGUGAGGGAAAGGCGAAAAGAACCCCGGCGAGGGGAGUGAAAAAGAACCUGAAACCGUGUACGUACAAGCAGUGGGAGCACGCUUAGGCGUGUGACUGCGUACCUUUUGUAUAAUGGGUCAGCGACUUAUAUUCUGUAGCAAGGUUAACCGAAUAGGGGAGCCGAAGGGAAACCGAGUCUUAACUGGGCGUUAAGUUGCAGGGUAUAGACCCGAAACCCGGUGAUCUAGCCAUGGGCAGGUUGAAGGUUGGGUAACACUAACUGGAGGACCGAACCGACUAAUGUUGAAAAAUUAGCGGAUGACUUGUGGCUGGGGGUGAAAGGCCAAUCAAACCGGGAGAUAGCUGGUUCUCCCCGAAAGCUAUUUAGGUAGCGCCUCGUGAAUUCAUCUCCGGGGGUAGAGCACUGUUUCGGCAAGGGGGUCAUCCCGACUUACCAACCCGAUGCAAACUGCGAAUACCGGAGAAUGUUAUCACGGGAGACACACGGCGGGUGCUAACGUCCGUCGUGAAGAGGGAAACAACCCAGACCGCCAGCUAAGGUCCCAAAGUCAUGGUUAAGUGGGAAACGAUGUGGGAAGGCCCAGACAGCCAGGAUGUUGGCUUAGAAGCAGCCAUCAUUUAAAGAAAGCGUAAUAGCUCACUGGUCGAGUCGGCCUGCGCGGAAGAUGUAACGGGGCUAAACCAUGCACCGAAGCUGCGGCAGCGACGCUUAUGCGUUGUUGGGUAGGGGAGCGUUCUGUAAGCCUGCGAAGGUGUGCUGUGAGGCAUGCUGGAGGUAUCAGAAGUGCGAAUGCUGACAUAAGUAACGAUAAAGCGGGUGAAAAGCCCGCUCGCCGGAAGACCAAGGGUUCCUGUCCAACGUUAAUCGGGGCAGGGUGAGUCGACCCCUAAGGCGAGGCCGAAAGGCGUAGUCGAUGGGAAACAGGUUAAUAUUCCUGUACUUGGUGUUACUGCGAAGGGGGGACGGAGAAGGCUAUGUUGGCCGGGCGACGGUUGUCCCGGUUUAAGCGUGUAGGCUGGUUUUCCAGGCAAAUCCGGAAAAUCAAGGCUGAGGCGUGAUGACGAGGCACUACGGUGCUGAAGCAACAAAUGCCAUGCUUCCAGGAAAAGCCUCUAAGCAUCAGGUAACAUCAAAUCGUACCCCAAACCGACACAGGUGGUCAGGUAGAGAAUACCAAGGCGCUUGAGAGAACUCGGGUGAAGGAACUAGGCAAAAUGGUGCCGUAACUUCGGGAGAAGGCACGCUGAUAUGUAGGUGAAGCGACUUGCUCGUGGAGCUGAAAUCAGUCGAAGAUACCAGCUGGCUGCAACUGUUUAUUAAAAACACAGCACUGUGCAAACACGAAAGUGGACGUAUACGGUGUGACGCCUGCCCGGUGCCGGAAGGUUAAUUGAUGGGGUCAGCGCAAGCGAAGCUCUUGAUCGAAGCCCCGGUAAACGGCGGCCGUAACUAUAACGGUCCUAAGGUAGCGAAAUUCCUUGUCGGGUAAGUUCCGACCUGCACGAAUGGCGUAAUGAUGGCCAGGCUGUCUCCACCCGAGACUCAGUGAAAUUGAACUCGCUGUGAAGAUGCAGUGUACCCGCGGCAAGACGGAAAGACCCCGUGAACCUUUACUAUAGCUUGACACUGAACAUUGAGCCUUGAUGUGUAGGAUAGGUGGGAGGCUUUGAAGUGUGGACGCCAGUCUGCAUGGAGCCGACCUUGAAAUACCACCCUUUAAUGUUUGAUGUUCUAACGUUGACCCGUAAUCCGGGUUGCGGACAGUGUCUGGUGGGUAGUUUGACUGGGGCGGUCUCCUCCUAAAGAGUAACGGAGGAGCACGAAGGUUGGCUAAUCCUGGUCGGACAUCAGGAGGUUAGUGCAAUGGCAUAAGCCAGCUUGACUGCGAGCGUGACGGCGCGAGCAGGUGCGAAAGCAGGUCAUAGUGAUCCGGUGGUUCUGAAUGGAAGGGCCAUCGCUCAACGGAUAAAAGGUACUCCGGGGAUAACAGGCUGAUACCGCCCAAGAGUUCAUAUCGACGGCGGUGUUUGGCACCUCGAUGUCGGCUCAUCACAUCCUGGGGCUGAAGUAGGUCCCAAGGGUAUGGCUGUUCGCCAUUUAAAGUGGUACGCGAGCUGGGUUUAGAACGUCGUGAGACAGUUCGGUCCCUAUCUGCCGUGGGCGCUGGAGAACUGAGGGGGGCUGCUCCUAGUACGAGAGGACCGGAGUGGACGCAUCACUGGUGUUCGGGUUGUCAUGCCAAUGGCACUGCCCGGUAGCUAAAUGCGGAAGAGAUAAGUGCUGAAAGCAUCUAAGCACGAAACUUGCCCCGAGAUGAGUUCUCCCUGACUCCUUGA